rnacentral:lncRNA from 1 species
GCUAGAAGCAACAUGGCAGAGAACCCAAAGAAGAAGAAAAAGCCUUCCUGUUCAGCAGAAGGUCUGUUGGCAAAGGAAGUGAGUGACAAACGGAGAAGACUAACACAUCUGCAUCACUUGUCCUCGAUGGAGAGCCCUGAGGGAGGAGAUUGGACUGAGGCCUGACUCCGAUGUUGCCUUGAUGCUGCUAGAUAAGUAAGUGACUCUGUUCAUUACAAGCAGGAUGUGCUGCUGUUAAAUGUACUGGACUGAGUACUUUAUUAUUUUCUUGGAAAUGGUGCUAUGAAUGUAAUGUAUUAUUAGCAGCCUAGUGUUUGCCACAUUUUGUAAUGUUAGCCUAACGAGCAGUAAGUUACAAGGUGUGUCGCCUGUGUCGUUGUGUGUGACUUACUGCGGGGAGUCUGUGUGUAACUUUAGUAGCCGACAUGUUGUGUAGACAGUUAUAGUCCGUGUACUGUGAUGAGCAGUAUGCGGUGAGCCAAGUGUUACUCCAUGUACGGGUUACACCAGGCCAUACAUCAUAUUGAGGUGCCGGCCUUAUUGUUGUCAUAAUGCAGAUAUCCUCUAAGGUGAUAGAAGUUACGCACUAUAGCUUAUAUAUGUUGACUGCCAUCUAAGUUUCACUCGUUUAAACUAUAGACUGUAUAUAGAAUGGACGCCGUCUGCCUCCUCGCUGGGUGAAGCCACCGCCAGGACAGCACCCUCUGGUGACGGGCUGCAGUAUAGGUCAUAAAUCCCGCCUCCUCCAGCAAUCCCUAUGGAGCUGUGGACAAACUUUAGAAAUUAAUUACACAGAAUAUAUAUUUUUCUCCCCCUGCUUGCAAGUUAUUAAGGGGUUCAUGUUUUCAGUGAUUGACAGUUGAUACAGCCUAUGGGCGUACGAAGAUUGCAUAGCUCACUUGGGGGGAUACGCCGUUUAAGCCGAGCGUCAUCACAGCGACUCUCAGUGACUCUCCUGCCAAAUGUGUACAACACUAUUGCGCAAGUGGUAGUUUCAGGAAGUGGAGAGAAUCCCAAAAAUACCAAGAGCAAAUCAGCUUCAAAUUCAUAUAACGAUAAAAGAUACCAGUUGUCCAUGGUAUAUACAGUCUAUGUUUCAAACGCUGUCAGAAACUCCCACAGCUUUAAUGACGGAGCCAGCUGAUUUCUCAGUGACGGACUCUCUUGUUUAUGGUGAUUUAUGGUGAUCAAAAUAAACAUGGCAAUGAUUCAUUACUGUUAAAUUUCCUUUGACUUUAGAAUGAGCCGCCUCAUUUUCAUCUACCAUAAAGCAAAAACGGUUCAAUGAACAAGGUCGGCCUGAAGAAGCUACAGAUUUUCAUUCAACAUUAACAUCAUGUUUACUGUAAUUCUUCAUAUGAAGGAGAAAUUAGCAAAGCUAAUGUGGUAAUCAACAAAACAUCAUUAGCUGGAUGAUGGUAUGUCAAAUGUUAUAAUUACAUCAAUCUCUAUUAUCCUUGUUAAAUGGAGUGAAACUAAGAAAGCAACAGUAUUACAGAUCACUAUCUUGAUUGAUAAAUUAAAUGACUGACCUCCAUCAGAGAGGUAAACAGACCAAAACAGACAGGUAAAGACAAAGACACAAGGACGGGGUAAAGACAAGUAGCUACACAGAGGUGUCUUAAAUCUCCCCUUUCAUUCCUAACUCUUGUUUUAAAGAAACAAACCACCAAACAAUCCUCAAACAGGGAUACAGACAAACAGUCAAAGAAGACUCAAGCAACAGAGAUAUGUUCUGACUGCUGUAAAGGAUGUAACUUUGUAAAAUUCCUGUAAGUUUUUGGUAGCUGCUGUGUUUAGUUUGUCUUGUGAUUGAGCUUUUAGGUACCUCUGGCAGCUUCUUAAGAAAAUUCAAUUUGUGCCUCUGCACUCGCAUCUACAGACACUUACAAAACCUCCAGGGGCAUUACAGAUGUGAUUGUGAAAUAACUAUAAAACAAACAGCAAAACACCUCUUCUAUGGUCAGAUAAGAAAAUGAUGUAUAGUGAGUGGGUGGUUAUACAAACAAGGAUCCCAAGGAGCUUGACCCCAAUGCUUUAUGUCUUAAUUGGAGUCAUUUUGUUUGAGAUCCCCAGACAGGAUGAUGAAGACCCCUCCCAGAGUGUUGGGGUCCUGCUCACACUGUCAGGAACCUAAUUUGCAUAACUACCUGUUUACUAUACAUCAUCUUACUUGACACCCAGCUACAGGCUUAAACUUUGAUACUGAAAUGAUUUUCUUUUAAUUCACCUAUGCUGAGUGGUCCUUUCUGUCUUCCUCAGGAAAAGCUGCUUUAUGUUCAGACAAAUACCUCUCCGCCAUCACACCCAUUACAUUUCUCUGAUCCAACUCACUUCAAAUCCAAACCCAAACGUCAAUAGUCAUCUUAGCCACAGCCGAGAAAGAAUGAGAAGGGUGUGCGUGUGUGUGUGUGUUUGUGUGUUUCGCAGAGGAAGGGUGUGGGCAGUGGGGGCUAGUUGUACCAUGACGGACGUGUGCAACAACAAAUGAACAAUGCCUCCAGCAAUAUCAAAGAUGUCAAUGGGAGGAGAUUUGAAUGGUGUGUCGGUGGAGACGUUGAUUAUUACUCAUGUCAAUUGUCGAGACGAUGAGCGCUCAGGGGCAUCUAUCUCUCUCUCCUCCCUCUUUUUCUCCCACUGUUUUGUUGUCAUUUCCAGGAGUUUCAAGGUAAUGAACGCCUCUUGUUCUGUUGUCUGAUGUAAUUGAAUAAUAGCUGAUGUACACAUGUCAAAUAGCGUGAAAGUCACUCAUAGAAAUCAAACCACAUCAACGCUGGUUUGCGUCCUUAUUCAUGCACACAUCCACACAAGCACACUCACAAAGGCAGCAACACACACCAGAUCUGAUUUGCCCAGGGAAACUGAUAUAGCAGUUAAAAAAAAUCUGGCUCCUGAUAUGGUUUAUUUCCUGACAACCAAAGCAAACACUGAAUUGAUACCUUUAAUACCUCCAAUGUUGCACCAAAGUAUCAAAACAAAUGUAACAGAGAUAAAGUGUUGCACUCAUAGACUGUAUAUACUAUGGUUCCGCCUACCACCUGUAUACGGGUUUGAAGCCAAAUAGCUCUCUGUAUUUCUGGGAUUUUUCUUGAUUUCCUGAAACCAGAGCUGCGCAGUAGCGAUGCCCACAUUCGGGCGCGCCGUUGCCGAGAGUCCCUGUAAAGACGCUCAGCUCAAACAGCGUAUCCCCCGGGAGAGCUUCACAAUCCCUGAAAUCCUAUAGGCUGUAUCAGGUGUCAAUCAUAGCAAACCUGAACCCCCUAAUAACUUUUAAAAAUGGAGCUUCACAGAAAAAAGAGGACUUGAGCACAAACCAGUCUUACAAUGUCAACAUCACAAGCGGGGGGGGGAGAAAAAUUUAUGUUCUGUGUAAUAAAUUUCUAAAGUUUGUCCACAGCCCCAUAAGCUUUGCUGGCGGAGGCGCGAUUUAUGACCUGUACUGCAGCCCGUCACCAGAGGGCGCUGUUCUUGGAGUGGCUUCGGCCAGCAAGGAGGCAGACACUGUCUAUUCUAUAUACAGUCUAUGGUUGCACUCACUGCAUAUGCAGCACAAAUUUUAGCCAUUUUUUCCUGCAAUGUCCAGCUGUAUCAUUUGUGCUCUUGCAUCCUAAACUCCAAGAUAAAAGUUGCAUCAGUAUACAAGACAAUUUUGUUGCACUUUUUAGAGGACAUUAGGGUAUUAAUGAUGUUUUAAAAGACACAUUUUACAGUUACUUUGUUUUUGUGAGAGGUUUAUUUGAACACUGGGGACAAAGAGGCUUAGGGGUUAAGUCUCACAGACAGGAUGGGAAACACAGUCUGUACGUAAAACAUGAGGUGGGUUUAUAUGACCACUUUAUGCUAAUCCAUUUAAAAUCCGUUGAACUGAAAAUUCUGUGUCAUCUAUUUGCAUUGGGGUAUGAUCUCUUCCCAUCAGGGGCCUCAUGUAUCAACACUUGCGUGGAACUCAUACCAGAAACGAGCGCACGCAAGGUCCGUCACGCUGAAAAAAAUCCGUAUGUAUCAAUGUGUGCGGGCGCCGAAAUCCACGUGUGUUUCCUUGAUAAAUCCCAAUCAGCGUGGAAUUGAGCGCAGAUGUCGGAGUGACUGGGCCCGUCCCCGUUACGCCCUCCUAUAAAUAUGCAGAUUUAUUUAAAUGGGGUCUCCCUGUCCUCGCACGCAGACAAAAUGACAAGAAAAACUAAAUUUACGGCGUGCGAGGUGGAGGUGCUGGUGGCGGAGGUGGAGGAGCGACAGCGUGUUUUAUUUGGCAGCCUGUCCAGUGGCGUCAGUGCAAAACGAAAAUGCUUGGAGUGGGAGAAAGUUUGCGAGAGGGUGAAUGCGGUGGGUUCCGAGACACGCACCCCCGCGGAGAUUAAAAAAAAGUGGUCGGACCUCAAGGUGGAGGUCAAGCGGCGUACAGCUGCCCUCCGGAGGAGUACUGGCCAGACAGGUGGGGGUCCGGGGGAGGAGACCCUCACACCGUUUGAGCAGCGGGUGGUGGCGAUUAUUAUUAUAGGGUAAGUGGCGUGUCACACAAAUGUCCACAUGCUUUGUCAUCCCACUGAGCAAAAGACGUAUAUUAGACGUCUAGUCUAAGUUUAUACUUCAUUUCAACGUCUAGAUUCAGUCUAUUUUUAGACGUGAUUUAUACUUCGCCCUUAACUUCAUUUUUCGAUAACUUUUUAUGCAAUAAACAACUGUAAUGUGCAUAACUGACCUCUAAAUACUGGAUUACAUUACCUAUGAUACCGUGGAGAGAGAUGUAAACGCAACAGAUACACAGAAGCAGGAAUUGAAAUGAACAAAUAUUUUUAUUGUGUCACAGAAAUCAAUGUGUCGGCCGUGUCGCCGGCUUGCGGAACCCCGGCCCGCGGCAGCCCGUCCGCCGGCUCGGAGUCGUCGGCCAGGACCAGCGGCAUUCGGGCCACCCCGGCCCCCGGCCCCAGCACCAGCACCAGCAUCAGCACCAGCGCGCCGACAAGCGGUGGAGCGUCCACCAGCCGCGGCGCUUCCGCUGGACCACCCGGACGCAGUGGAAGGGUCCUCGCGGAGGGGGUCCUGCAAUCGCAGGAAGAAAUCAUCAGGGGGAUCGCAGGGAUCAACGAGCGGCUGGACCGGCUCGUAAAUGUCCUCGAGCGUCUGGUGGAGAAAAUAAAUAAAUUUGGCUCAUUGAACUGUGUAUUCACUUCUUACCCAUUCACACUGUGGCGAUGAGAUUCUCCCGCGCGAGGACAGCGGCCCGGCAGGGAUCAGCUCGCAUCCCUCCGUCUGCUGCUGGUUCGUCAUGUGGGGCGACGUGCUGCUCGGCCACGGGGAUGUGGUGCACGCUUGUCACAUAGUGAGUCACCAAACACCGCCACACAGCGUCGCCAAAGUGCGAAUCACAGUCAACGCAAGUAUCAGCUCAACGCCAAUUUCUACACCACCUCCUGACUUUGCGUUGAUUAGCGCUGGAACCGACGCUCGUUUCGCGAUGAUAAAUCUGGACGUGUGCGCCAAUUUUGGCGUACGCAAGGUUUUCUUGCGCCGCAAGCGUUGAUACAUGAGGCCCCUGGUGUUUACACACUCGAGAUGCUGAUCAUCUCCUAAGUAAUGUGACAUCAUGAUAACACAUCACAAUAAAGAAGAUGGAGGUCAAGCAUCUGCAUGCGAGUAAGCAGUUUACUUUAUCUUUGAUGAAAACAAAGUCAGAAAGGACCCUUGUUUCGCUUUCUAACUAUUCAUGUACCACCAUACUGCUUUAAAGUGCUGUCAUGAUCUCGAGUCAUGAGAGACAAGCAACAAGCACAUGCAAAAGAUCUGCCAACGGAAUACAGUUAGAGCACAUGUGUACCCGACUGUUUGAUCAGACAACAAAAGUAUUACACCAGCCCUUUUUAGAAUAAAAAUCCUACUUGGAUUGGUUGUUUUAUUCUGAUCAAGGGAUUUGUAUGAGUCAUCUUUCAUCUGAGUUGGCUAUUUUUCCAAUUGUAAUCUGAUCAGAGGUUGCCAUUAAAAUCCACCCAGUUGCUUUACCCACUGAUCUUUGGAAAAACCCCUUUAAAGCUUAAUAACAGCAGUUGUCAUAUAAAAGCUGUGGAGAUGAGGAGAUCCUUUGGCUUCUUGAUGUGUAUUUAAAUCAAGUAAAAAACUAUUGAGACAGUAACAGAUUUUUGUACCAGGCUGUUAACAUGCCAUGCUGCAAAAAUGGACAUUCUAAUAGUUAAUGGGGCUUUGUGGACUUUUGGAGCCAGCCUCAAGUGGAAACUUGAGGAACUACCCCGUGUUGCACUCCACCACUGGCUUCAUUUUUAAUACCAGAGGUGGCAGCUCAACACGAAAGUUUGGUUAAAGAUUUGGGGCCUAACAAACUACAAGGUUGGCAAUAUUUUUCAAACUAGACAACAAAAAUUAUCACCAGUCGAUGUCUGAAUCUUAAGAUGGCUUUAACUUUGAAAAGUCUCAAAAUCAAAUGCCACAAUGCAACACUGUUGCUCAGCUAACUUUGCUCACUCUGCACUUGCCUGACCACAUCCAACCUCAGAAAAUGAAAAUGGGCCACUUUUUAAAAUUUCUUUCCCUCCAUGGUUUCCUUGAAAAAAAAAAUCACCUUUUGUGUCAGUUUUAUUUUUGUGUUCAAAAACAUAAAAUCAAACAACUGCAUAAUUUCAAAACCCAUCCCUGAAAGGAAAAUCAAAUGACCACAAGACAUACAUAGUGAAUAGUAUCCUCGUUCUGAGCAGCUGCCAAAAAAGAUGAUUUUGACCUGUGCGUUUUGUUUCGAUCAGUUAUUGACAAAGCUAUUGCCUGACACUAAAUAUGCAUUUAAUAAGACGUGCAAAGAACUUACGAACCUAAAAAAUAGUCUGAACUCUGAUUUCCAUUUUGGGGGACCAUGUUCUUGACUCUGUUUUGGUCUCCGCAAACUUCCAAGAAAAAAAGAAGUUUUCUGCACUUUGCUAACACAGCUGCAUACUUUUACAUGGAAAUUUCCAGCAUUGUGAAAACCAAUAUCUUAGACUUCAAUAAAAAUAGGGGGGAACUUCAGGGCCAGGUAAAAAUGGUUACCCUGUGAUUUCAGCACUGUAGGCAUCACCUUUCAUAUGAGAGAAGUCAUUUGAUUUAUUGUUAAUAAAAGAACAUUAAUAAGAAGAACUUUGCAUGGUCUUUACUGCUUUUUUGUAAUUUUUAUCUGUCUUACUGACGUCCUCUGGAGCUCUGGUUUAAUAAUGUAAGACAGUAAAAAGCCCAUUAAAGGAUAAAGCAUUUGAGUAGAAAGAGAGAGGACGGCAAAAACAUACAAUGACAGGCAGGUAAACAUAGUGGAAAAAACACCAUAGAGACAGUCACACAGACAGACAGUGAUGUGACGAGUGCAAAGAUUGAUAUGCAGGUUGGUUCGUGUGGACAGUAAAAAAAAAAAACAGACGGGCAGACAGAGAGACAGCCAAGCAUGCACAGUAUGAUGACAGGCAAAAAACAUGAAGAAAGACAAGUGAUAGAGGAAGACACACAUGCAGGUAGACAAGCAUAAAGGUGGACAGACAGGUAGACAUAAUAUAAAAAAAAAAAACAGUCUAUCCAGCAGACGUCCAUUAAGACACACUGAAACAGCUGUACAUGACCAGGUCAGGACCUUCGCAUCAUGAUCUGGCAGUGAGUCAGGAAUUCUGGAAAGACUGUAGACUUCCAGAUGGAGAGACAAAUGGGCAAAAAGAAAGCGAGCGAGAGAAAAAGGCAAGUGAGAGCACACAAGAGCACAUGCAUACACACAUAUAGACUGCAUGGAGGCAGACAGGCAAGACCAGGAGCAAGCCUGGGUAAGAGAUAAGAUUCCUGGGUGGCUUUGCCCUGGGCAUGGGUCUGCAGAGCACAGCAGCCAGGGGCAGAGGGAGGAGAAGGGUGAGGUGUGGGAGAGAGAAAGGGGGAGACAGGGGUGGUGUUAUCAAGCAAGUGCAGGGGCUGGGAUGGGCGAAUGGGCAGUCUGAGAAUCUGACUUCCCUCCCUCUCUGUCUGCGAUCCAGCAGGACAAAGAGUGAAAACAGAGAAAAAAGGACCAGAAAGAAGAAGAGGAGACCUGAAAAAAAAGGCUUUUUAUGUGUGAGUUUGUGGGUGUAACAUGUCUCAGAGUGACAUUGUAGAAAAAAAAAGUGAGGUACACAAUGUUUCUUUCAAAUACGAAGUGUGUGUGUUCGUUGAAAGAGAGGAGAGAAAGAAAGAGGGGUGCAAAGCAGACAAAGAAGGAGAGGGGCAGGAGUCUUCACACAAAAAGGUGCUGGCUGUGAACAAAUGUAGCUUUGGUAAUGAUGGUUUAUUGUUUUUGGACAUUUUGGAAAACAAAACACAGAAAAUGGCCAUGAAGCUAGAAGCACAUCUUUUUAAACCUUAAUAUAGUCAGGCCUCAUAUAUACAUAUAUUCCUAUCCUGCUUUCUCACCUGCUCCUGCUCUCUGUGUGUGUGCCACUGCGAGCAUCAUGCUUCUUUGCAGUCAGAAUAAGUAUCUCACAGCGUGCAAGCGUUGCAUGUGUAUGUUCGUGUCUGUCUUCACAGCAGGAACCGAUCUACUCACUAUAUGUGAGGGUCUAAAUAACAUGCAGUAUGCCGCCUCAGCAGCAGCUCUGCUCAAGCAGCGCUGCAACACAACACAGUCAAGACACGUUUGUAACCACGUCAGGCAACAUGGCUGAGGGAGUUUGAACAACAACUUAUGAGAUGCUGAGUUCCAGUUAAAUCGUACAGUUAAGAUAGUAUGCAGUCUUUGCUGAAGGAUUUGUGGAAGACUGAUUCUGUUUAGUUUGACAGUAAUAGUUUGGUUAAUGGGACUCCAAAAAUUAAUAAUAGGCUCUAAAAACAGUGAAUAGUUCAGGUCUUGUUUUUAGAAUAGCUAGAACUGCUUAAAAUGCAUUCAUCCCGGUCAGCUUGUUUCAGUAUCAGUAGAUCUGUGCUUGUUCAUUGUACCAAUAUGUGGGUGCUUCAUUUACACACAAUCUUUUCGUCAUUUGACUGUUAAAAAAAUCUUUUUUUUUUUUUUGAUACAGAAAACAUUAUUGGUUGGUAAGAAUAUGUUUAAAAUUGUAGAUGUCAAUGUAAAGUUUCAUAAUAUAUCUGACACUACUGGAAACAGCUGUCUCAUAAAAUGCAUCUAUCAGAUAUAAGUGAUCAAUGACUUUGACAUUAUGUUUUUGUGUUUUAUUCUUAACAAUGCUUUUGCAGUUAUUCUUUAUGUUUUCAGCUGAAAGCAUUUUAAAUAUUCUUCUCUUUCUUUCUCUUUAUUUGAAUUAUGUUUUUGAGAUGUUGCAUAUAAAAUUUAUAAGUAGUAGAUCUGUGCUCGUUCUUUGUACCAAUAUGUGGGUGCUUGAUUCACACACAUGAUCUUUUUGUCAUUUAACUGUAAAAAAAAAGUCUUUUUUUUUAUACGGAAGACGUUAUUGGUCAGUUAAAAGAUGUUACAAACAUAAUCCUACCUUGUUUUAAUUUCAUGUGUUACUAAUUUCAAGUAAAAUUGCUUUCUGCAUGAGAGCUGGAUUUGAUCUUGAAGCAAAAAGAGAGAAAAUUUGUUCACUUUUUUAAAAUUGUAAAUGGCAAUUUAGAGUUCCCAUAAUAUAUCUAACAUUACUGGAAACAGCUGUCUCAUAAAAUGUAUUAAUCUGAUAUUAGUGAUCAGUGAGUUUGACCUUGUGUUUUUGUGUUUUAUUCUUCAGGUUUUCUUCUAAAUGCAUUUUAAAAUUCCUUCUCUUUCUUCACCUUUAUUUGAAUUAUGUUUUUGAGAUGUUGCACACAAAAUUUUACUUGAAAAACCCACAUAGCUUUGGACCUGACCUUAGGGCAUGUAGAUAAAUGAGCUGAAAGCAAAAGACUGCCGAAGUUUUCAGUGUAAUUAUCGUUGUUGUUUGUAAAUAUAUUAACUAUUAAAUACAGUUUACAUAUAAAGUGCAUUGACAACGGAUAAGGUUUACACCCAUUGGAAGAAUAUAUCUGUGGGAUGUUGACAGGAGGGGUGGAGAUCCGUUACUCAUCUAUCUCCUCUUCUGCCAUGUCUCAAUCUAGCAGUGAUAAAAGAGAGCCUCUCCUGCCAGACACAUGGCCAAUUACAAAUUAGCCAGUUUGUUGGUGGGGGAGGGGCGGCUGGUGGUAAUCAGGCUUCAAGAGGUGGAGGCCCUUGAAGAUUAAUUGGAAAUGGGCCCCCGGUAAAUGUCAAUGGCAAUCAAGGGUUUGUACAGCUCUGAUUGACUCUAUACACAGACCCCUCUGCCCAGGAUAAGCUUUCUCCAGCCGUGACAUUGCUGGCAUCGCUCCCUCACUCUCUCCAUCUCCUCUGAAAAGGAAGGAGAGCAGGCACAAAGGAGGCAAGGAAAAUGGAGGUGUGAGACAGUGACAGAAUACCGAAGAAGAUGUGUAAAGGGAAGUGUUUGACAUUUCCAACCUCCUGAUGUGUUCAUGUUUAGGAGCUUUGGUCAUGAUUUGAAAGGGUGCUGUGCAGACGCACAAACACCAAAAGAAGCAAUUUUCCAUGUUGGGACCAGAGCGGGCAUAUGAAAGUCAUCAUGAGGGCUGUUUUUUUGUUCUUUCAUAUACAAACGGAUAUUUUUGUUUUUGUCUCCUUCCCUUUUUCUACUCUGAAUUCUCUGAACACUAUUACAUUUUCCAUUUGUGUCUCUUUGUUUUGGCUUAAUGCAAUAAUUUGAUCUCUCAUUAUAUAUGUACCAAAUGGCCUUGACAUCUUACCCAGGAAUACAAAGCUCCAUUCUCGCCUCUGCUGCAUGUAUACCAGCAGUGCUGGCUUACAUUAAUAAUAGCAACCUAUGAUUGACUCAAAAAUAUCAAAGCAGCUUUUUUCGCAUUGAGUGAAGAGCAAACCAGUCCUUUCAAUUCUUGAUGCUGUAAGCUAAGUUUCUUGAGUGCUACUGACUUCCAGUUAAGACCUGGACAGACUGGCUAACAUUAAAGAGGAGGGUUGUACAUUUUUUUCUGACUGUACGUCCUGUUUUAAAAUAGACUGAAAUUCAUUUGAGGCCUUUUGAUGAUAUCCACAGUUAGGGCUGGGCGAUAUGGGGAAAUUUUUAACCCGAUAUAUCUUUUUUCAUAUUAGUCGAUAUAAAAAAUGAAGUUUAACAGUGCUUAUUGGUAGCAUGUCUUUUGCAAUACAAUAAGUUACUGCAUCUGUGAGGUCUUUUUGUCUCUUCAACGUUUUGUCGUAAGGCGUUGCGCUAGAGAAAGCGGAUUGAAUGGUUGGCUGUUUCAGUUGCACAGGCGCCAAGGUCUCCGUGCUCCGCUCGGGAUUUGUAACCUUUUGCAUCACACAUGUCCUUUCAGUGACACUGCUUCAGGUGGUGAAAAAGAUUUGAGGUAUUUACCGACUUAAUACCUAGCACACCAUCGACGUUUAAGUGCCAGUGUUGUUGACGAUGUCAUCAUCUGUUCAGCCUUCAUCUGCAUUUCUGCCGAGGGUAGCACUCAUUUUUUGUCGGUUUCACGUGUUAAAGUGCUAUGGUUGCGUGUAGCUGCAGCCUGCUACUAUGCAGUUGUUUGCUACUUGGUUCUAAUUCAGCAAAUUAUUGGUUCAGCUCAAAGCGGACCCAGAGCAACUCCCUUUUUCAUUGGCUAUUCGUAUAGUCUACCAAAACAUACCAGAAUGCCGACUAUCGAAAAGCAUAUUGAUCAUGUUUCACAUUGAUAUUUACAGAAAUUAAUUUUCAAUAUAUAUCGUUAUCAUUUUAACACCUCGCCCUAUCCACAGUCAAACAAAACCAUCAAGUACAAGAAUGACAAUUCAUAUAAAGUAAUUUUUAAUGCUUGAAACUGGAGUAAGAAUGAAGGUAGCAGCUGAGCAGUUGGACAAAAGCCCUGUUUUUGCUUCUGAUGAUACUAAUUCUACUCCUGGUUGUAAGUAUGGUAGCAGAGAUAGAAGCAAGAAAUGAUCCUUAUUAAACAUCUGAAAAUAUCUUGUUUAGCUUUUAAGACAAAAACUUUCUUAGCUCCACAGUUUAAUUCUAGUUUAAUAAUGUUUAUCCUCUAAUCUCUCAUAGAAUUUAUAGAUAAUGAAUUAAAUGAAAGAUGAUAAUGAAUAAACAAAAUAUGUUUGGCCCAAGGUAGUUUUUAUAAUGUUUGCUCUUAUUAUUUUUCAUAGCGAAAAAGUCAAUUUACUAAGCAAUAACAGUAAAAGUAAGCGCCGGGUACUUCUAUAAUUGUAUGUUUAAUAUUUUCAUCCCCAGCUUAAAACAGAUAAAUAACUAAAAUUGAGAUUAAGUUACAGUCUCCUAACCUCUAAGUUACAGUAGCUUACAGUAGAUAUCUCUACAGCAUAUUAUUCAUACUGGAGCAUCCAAAAUGUUUGAAGAACUUUUUCACAGAGUUUUUUGAGCUGCUGAAGAGGUGGUUGUCACUUUUGGAAGCUGGGGAAGAGUUGUCCUUCCUGUCAGAGCUACCUGUCUCCCAUGCUUCGGGUUUUUCCCUCACUAAGACGCAGUGCGACAGAGAAUCGAACUAUGACAGGUCAGUCUAGGUUGGAUGGCAUCUCGCUACUGCCUCCAAAGCUGUACUGUAGUGACAAAUGCUGUCAAUAUAUUGACUGAAUGUCAAAAAGUUGGAAAACAACAUUUUCUCACACAAGCCAGCCUUGUCACACGCAAUCCCUCUACAGUACAUUUAAUCCACUGCUUCCUCCUGUCUCCUCUUACCCCUCGCAAAUUUCUGUUACUGAGGCAGAAAACACCCGCUUUAGUCGAUUAGAUGCCUCCACUGACAGGAAGAGCAAAGGCAACUGAGCAUUGAGGCGAGAUGACUAAUGAGGAGGGAGUGACAUAGGAGGAGACUGAGUGCUGCAUCAAUUGUUUCAUCAAUACUGGCAGUUCAUCAACCCGGACAAACAUUAGUUGUUACUUAACAAGAUUUUAGCUUUAGUAGAGGGAGAGAAGAGGGUUCAGGUGACCUGUAAAGGUUAAAAACAACCAAAUAAAGACCUUAAUCAGUCUUCACUUCUUUUGAGAAGCAAUCUGGUACAUAUAUAUAAGAGUUUAACUGUGCGUAAAAAAAAAAAAAAAACAUCUGUGUCUUGAUCAUGCCAUGAAAAUCUCCAUGUAUAGAUUAUAUUGUUGUUGUAACUCUGGAGGAAAAAACAGUCUUCUUUGAUGGUGGCUGCUUUUCUAGGUGACAGGAAAAGCAACACAAAUGGCAUUCCAGUUUUUGUUUUUUUUCACACAGACACCAAAAUUUUAAAGCACUAAUGAGGACAGAACUUGUUCCCUCUUACCUUUUUUUUUUUUCUCUGCAAGCGAACUGAAUAUUUUUGGGCUAUUUAAGUUCAGUUUAGGUCAGAGAGUUCAGAAAGUUAUUGAUUUUUUUUAGAAAAACAUGAGGAUGCAUAUCUUGCAUUACAUAGCACAAUAAAAAAGGGAUGUAAAUUAUUCAGUUGUUAUUUUCAUAUAUAUAGCAAAGGUAUUGGAGAGAAAUGGCUUGGGAGAACAAGCCAAGAUCAGGGUGUAAAGCUACAAAAUGCUGUGAAUUUUUAAUGCAGCUAGUGGCUCCUCAGAGGAACAAUAGUGUAUCAUACACAGACUCAAAGGUGGUCAGGUCAGUACUGACACUGACAUCUGUGUGGAGGAAUGUCAAAACACGGAGAAUAACGAGCUUUAGAAAAAAAAAGUUCAUAGUGGAGUUCAUGCAGAAGAGCUGCACCAAUUUAGAGGACGGACAUUUCAAUGAGUGUGAGGGCAGAGGAGCUUUGAAAAGAGUGUUGAUUUUCUCAGCAAACAAAGUACAAAGCUGCGUGCUCUGUUAGUUAUAUAAGUGUUUUUCUUCUAAGUUUGAUACCUGCAACUAGAAAAAAAAAAAAGUUAAAAAGUAUAGUUUUUGGACUUCUACCCCACAAUAUAACAAGAGUCAAGCUCAUCAAGUUGAUUUGUGCAGAACAUGAUCCAAAAGCAGAUGGUAAACAAAUAUUUUGAGAGCAUGUUGCCUUUGAUAUUCUGGACAGGGCUUCACCGUCUGAUUUGUAAGCCAGUGCCAGCGACAACUGCAUUUUAGAAGCGCUGCCAGAUAUAUUACAAGGGGGAACUGGAGCAGAACAGCUCUCUGGCGAUGCACCAUGGACAUUAUGCAAAUACCAUGAGAGAACAUAUUAGCUAGUCUAUCGGUUCCCCUUUAGAGAUGCCUGCACCAAAUUGUCUCAGAAGUUGCAGUGAGCUCCCACUGAGCCAAAGAAUGUGUGGAUUUAAAUCAGAGUGACAGAGAACCCUUGCGGACAUUUCAUAUUGCUCUUUCCACUUUUUGAGAAUGUGUCGACCCUUUAUUCCAAACAGCAGUCUGUUUAUCAGCACCAACGCAGCAUUUCUCCUAAUUCGUGUUAUGCAGCGGUUGCACGCAGCUACCAGAUACUUGAUCAUCUCAAAUACGCCUUGAUGAAGAUGCAUUCAAUCUGAAAAAGCCAUAGCAGUUCAUUGAAACGCAUUUGGUGUAAUGCGCCAUAACACUUGACGUGCACAUCUCCAGCAGAGCAUUUGAGCACAAGUCAGAACAGUUAGAAUGGUGGCAUAUAUUCCCAGUAAUAGCCUUGAUGUUUGUUUUUAAAGAGGCUGUGGCACUGCAUGCCAUUAUAGGGCUAAUGAUGUACGAUUGUCAUCUCACACAUUGCAGAGUUAAUUGGGCCUCUGUGAUCAUGCCUAAUGGCUUUACCAGGGAAUUAUUGACACAAUGAUGUGGGCCGACGUGCUACAGGUAGCUGAAUAAAUAAAUAAGCAAUCCCUCCCCCCCGCUGCCCCCACCUCCCUCUCCCCAGACACGAAGCUCGUCAAUCUUUGCAACUGCUUCUGCAGCUCCCUAGUCAGUUAACAUUUUAGAAAAUGGCUGCCCAUUAAUAAUAAAGGCGUAUUAACAUAAGUGAAUUCUGCUGCGGUGUGGGAUUCAGUGGAACAGUUAUUAAAGUCCAAUUUGGCCCCAUUAAUAAUGCAUCCACCUUUGACUUUCUGAUAUCCAGAUUAUGUGGUAUUACUGUGGCAAUACAUUAUUUAUCAACCACUUUCAAUUGGGGACCUUGAUGACUUCUAAUUGGUAGGUGGCGCUGCCAUUAAGUUACCCCUGAUGAGACUUGUCAAUCAAGGUGCAUUCUCUCGACCUCUUUGUCCAACAGACGACACACAUACACACACAGGUAUGCACACGCACACGGCACAGUCUGAGCCAGGUGCCAACAGUGCCAACAGUGCCACAGGGCCGGACAGGGGCAAAGAGCUCCACCCUCAUAACCUCGCCAAGAGACGGAGGUCUGACUCCUGUCCAUCAUGGCCAUUUGAAGUGCUUCAGAGGGGAAGCUAAACGGCAUGGGGCCUGCUGUUAGAGAGGCCCGGCUUUAAAAGUUAAUGGCUCCCGUGCUAUGCUGAAUGACACUGGAAGGGUGAGCGAUUGUCAUGCCUCUGUCCUCUGGGGGCCUUUUGUCAGUCAGUCACUCAGAGAGACAGACAGUGGCACAUGCACAGUCAUACAGAUACAUCCAAGCAAAAAACUGUAUGCAAUCCAUACCCUCUAUGCAUAAAGAAAGCGUAUAUAUAUGCAUAAAAACCCACCAGAAUGCCAACUACUUCUGUGAAUAUGCAAACACACCACACUGCAGAUACAACAAGGCAACCAGCUUGUGAGGCAACAUGCCGUAACUUUUCUGGUGACACAUAAAGUGCUGCACAAACAAAAAAGACAUCCUGUCAACUUCAAGCUAUUACAAUCACGCUGAAUAGCAUGUCAUUCUGUCCAGCAUGUUGAGAUUUUAUUGCAUGCUAGAUCAGCCCAAACUAAUUUUAAACUGAAUGACAAUCGCUCACUGAAGAACACUCCUGCUGCACAGAAAUGGCUGAGUAACAAUUUGUGCACAGCAGAGUAGAGAGAAAAAGGGAAAAGAGUGCGAAUGAAUUCUGCUCCCCUGAGUGCUGGCAAGAAAUGGAAUCAAGAUAAAAAAAAAAAGAGGGGGAAGUGAGAUAUCUCGUUAAAUACACUGAAAUUGGAUACACACAGCAGCACCGCACAAAGGUACCCCCCUCCAAUCCUCUUCCUCACAGAUAACCACACAUACACACUCGCUAACUAUACACGCCUACAUCUCAUCCUUUGCAAAUACACAGAACCAGCUGAGUACACAGUUUUAGACUGCACACGCCCUAAAAAAUUGAAAUGCUGCUCUUAUUUAAACACAAGUAAACACAAUCUCUAGGAACCUACCUGAGUUUUAUUAAUUGAUAUUUAAUCUGCGCUCCAUGGGAAAGGUUUUCUGGCAAAUAAAGAAGGACCUCAUGUUGAAUCUGGCAAGCUCUACAUCCCAAGAGCUGCAGCAGCACCAGCUGUGCACAGCUCAGAGAUACUCAGCAGCUCGGUUAACAAGGAUGGAUAAGGUGCAAAGUGGAUGUGGAAAUGGGAGUUUUAAGGCCACCUGGAUCACUUCAUCAGACCAACCUGAGUCUCUGAUCAGGGAGGGAAUGGUCAUGCAUGCAAGUGCCAGGUAAUAUAUUUAUUAGUUGCAGAAAUCGGUUAUAUUCUACUAAGGAAAGAGAUUACAACAGCCCUACAAAAAUCUACCUCAAUGAGGAGCUAUUCCUCUUUUCCUCUUUUUUGAUGAUUAUGUUUCUUGUUUUUAUCCUCUGAUAUUUAGAUUCUUUAACAUGUUGUGAUUCUAUUCAUAAGAAUACUAAAGGAGAUAAAGUUUUCAUUUUGAAGACAGUGCUUUAAAACUUUCUCAAUUAAUGACACUCUUAUCAUUCUCAUUUUUAUACUAUGAUUAAUAACUUUUUCCAUGUUUUAUUAAUCAUUAACUAAUAGUUUGUAAAGGGCUUGUUAGCAACAUUAUUAUAAAAUGUUAGCAUCAAUAUUCAUGUACAUUGAAUAUUCAUGUCCAUCCUCACCCAUCAGUAUGCCUGCUGGGCUGCAGUGGAGGGCCAGCGCUUAUAAUUGGCAAUCUUUUCCUGUUGGUUGACAGUACAGAGGAGUCAUUUCCUUGCAUUCAAAUCUGCGAGUCGCACAAAGCUGGCUUGUCAACUUUCCACUUCAUUACAGGUCAAGCAAUAGACUCAUUUCUCUCAGGCGCGUCGCUCCCAUAAUUGUUUUCUACCUCUCCUUUCGUAGCCAAUUUACAUGUGCUUCCUCGCCAAGUGUAAAAGAGACAGAGGAAGGGAAGAUGAGAAUGCUCUUGCUUUUCACUUCCACUCACCGUCCAUUAAUGACUUGACACAUGGAACGCAAAAAGUAAUAUGAAUUUUGUUCCCUUUUCUGUAGCAUUUGCUUUGAGGCAUAUGAUACAGUAUGUUGAGCUGAGAUGAGAAUUUGAUAGAAAUUAUGGUGUAGAACUGAGAAGAAUAGGAUGAAAGCAGGAUGAAGGAAAGGUAGAAGCAGCAUGGAGCAAUAAGGCAAGAGAUAGGAGGCUUUGAACUGAAGUUUACGUUAAGUGUUCCUACAUGAAACUGACUCUACAUAGCAGCUUGACUUAUGUCCAAGUCAUCAAAUAAAGUGGCUUGGUCAGGAGCCUAAUGCAUCUUAAUAUGACACUGUAUGUAACAUCUGGUGUCAUUUCUGGACUUUGGCCAAUUUCUUCAAAGUCAGGUGAUGAGGUCUGAAGAAGCAAAUCAACAGAGAUUAGGUUAUUUAGACAAGAAUAAGGGUCCAAUUAUUGGCUCUAAUUUUAACUUGUUUCCAGGGGCGUGUCCACACUUUUGUGACUGGAUUGGCCUUCCCUUGAAUGAUUCAAGUGCAAAUACUUGAACCCCUGAGGGCUAAAGCUUUGCUGGAUGCUGAAGCUGCUGUUGACUGGGAUGGUUGUUAUAAGCCAUGGUUGAAAUAGAACAGAGUUUAUGCUGGUGUUUCUAUUGCAGUAAAAUACUGUCAGUAAUGUUGUUAAUUUUUUAUUAGUUUCUAUGAAUAAUUCGUAUAGAACAAAGCAUUGACAAGACUAAUAUCACAUUACGCUGCAGCCCUUCAAUAAAACUGUGAAUAUGGUGCACAAACACGUUUCACAGGAAGGUCGCCUUUUCUUUUGAAUUGUAAUAGUUGACCAUUGCACACAAUCUCACACAUAACAUCUGUUGUUUAAUGCCAAUAUUGCUCUGCCUCAUUUUACCCUGCAAAUGGGAAUGCGAAUGCAAAUGCGAAGAAGAACAACAAGCAGAACAAGAAGUAUUAAUUGAUCCCAGAAGGGAAAUUCAAUUUAACCCUUAAAAUUGCCAAGAACUUUAACUUUUAAAUUAAUAUAUCGGACAAGUGGUCAACUAAGGCAUUUGUACUAUCCAUGCAGACCUAACACUGACCUUAAAAGUGUGAAUUUAUCCUCUGGUACUACAGAAAAACAGACUUUAAAAUGGUAGAAUGAGGCAACACAGAGUGAUACAACAGAGAUGACUUGAUAUUUCAUAAACCAAAACACAGCACUCACCUACAGAGUGGACACUGCCCCCAGUGCGCCCACAGGCUGCUGCCAGGAAGUCUCCACAGAGACAGAGAAACGAGCUUCACUGAAACAUUGUUAAAAUAUUAAAAAGCUGCGAUCGUAAUAAAAACAAAUAAAACCUAUUUAUUUGGAAAGUAGCAGAAUAUAAGACAAAUGGAGGCAGUAAAAUUAGCCAAGCAUAAAGGUAAAAGAACAACAAUUCAACACACCCGCUGGCUUUGGCAUAUAUUUUAAAAUGAAAGCCACAUAUUUAGGUUCACACAGACGAGGCAACCACAGGUCUGUGUGUCCUCAAGGCACAACUCCUGUUUUAAAACUGCCAUGGAAGAAAUACAACUCUGAGCUAACCAAUGUUUAAUGUUGACCAAACUUUACUCUCUGACUUUCCACAAAGUAUCCAAGCCUGUGGUCUUUGUUGAGCCUUAUUUUCUCUCAUCUAGUGCUGUUAGUAUGCAUGAUAAGCAGGCUUCUUACCAAUACUUAUAAUCAGUUGUACUGUAUUUGAUUAAAAAAAGUAGUAUUUAUUAGAUUUGUACAACUUAUUCUUGGGGAGGCUGUGUGAAAACAGUUUUGUGGAGGUUAGACUCUGUCACUGAAUUAAUGCAGUGCUAACAUUGCUGUGGGACGUUAUGUGAAUUUUUUCACCACCCUUAAUAACUUUUGUAUCUUAAACAGUAUGUAAGCAAUAUGUUUGUACUUAGGAAAUGUACACUGUUUGUGUUCAGUAUAAUUUAUAACCUUUAAAUGUUCUGUGAUCAUCAUUUCAGAAUAUUUUAAAAACGUUACAUUGAAUUACUUUAAAAGUGUCAAGAAGAUUUUUGAUCUACAUGUUUAUGAAACCAAAAUUACAUCAUGAUGGGUUCAAUGAAAAAGUAAAAAAAAAAACUAUUUGUUCACUUAAGGGGAGAUGUCAGUAUUUUUGAAGAGGGGUCGAUGAGAAAUAUGCCACCAGUAGCCGAAGUGCAUUAGUCACAAUGGAUGCCAGUCAGUACUUUUGCAUGACACUCGAGUUUGAGAACUCCGAUUGAGACACCCAGAUAAUGCGAUUGGAAUUCGAUUUUCUUUACCAUGUAACCAGCGUAUUCGGAGUAUGGUUGGACAAUGCAUGUGCCCGUGCGCCCCACCCCUGUAACCCCGGAACAAAAAUACCAGGGAAGAGGAGUAGCGCGCACCUCAUCUGCAGAAAAAGUAGCGUGGCCAUCAUGUACAACAAAAACAACGCUGUACAAUGCUCCAUCUUCUUGCUCGAAAAUGCCCAGCAGCAGUUGUAGCCACUUCUGACGUCUAUAAUGGACCUGCUGUUGUUGUUGUUGGGUCAACCAGAAACACUGAAAAGGCCCAUAUUGUCCCCUAGUUUUGGGAGGAGGACACGUUCACGUCAAUAAUUUUAUUUCCUCAGCUGCAUCUACAUGCAGACAAGGAUAGAAAUCUGAUUCAGCGAAUAAAAACGAAUUAUGAGCUUAGUCCGAUUAAGCUGUGCAUGUAAAUGCACUGAAUGUUAUCCCCCAAAUGGUUUCUGUGCUAACUGGUUUCCUUUAUUCAGCUGUUGUUGUGUUUACGUGGCAGAAGAGUUGCCCUUCAUUGAGACCAAUACACUUAAUAGUGACAUGUAGCGCGACUAAUAUAACUUCACUUCAGAAAUGCUGCACACCCACUUCUAACACUGACUAACCUUUAUGUCCUAUAAGGACCACAAUUUAUGUAAGUUUAUAGUUGAGGCAGAAGAUAUACAAGAGUCUCUCUUGACACAUCUGGCAUAUGUCCUGAUCUGAAGUUGAGCAUCAGUUUUACUGUCACAUGUAUUGUGUGUAUAUUCCCCACAGUAUCUCUGUUUACUCUCUUUUAUUUACUUCUCUGAUAAGGAGCUACACUGUAAGCAGAAGGUGUGCAAUAUGGCUUUGAUAGAUGUUUACUUUGAAAAAAAAAAAAAAAAAAGACUACUGAGGGUAAGGUAAGAUUUCAGCUCGACUCAGUAUUGGCUUCACUGAGAGAGAGUUUCAAGAGGAAACACAAGCAGACCGUACAGGCCAAGCAUGAAGACAGAUUUUUAUUCUUGACAAAAAGAUAAUAUAAGAUAAUUAGAGACAACUAAACAGGCAAAAUACCACCCUGUAAGUCGUCAGUGAAACAUAACCCUUCAGAAAAAAAAAAUCACAAACCUGAUAAAACACAGACUUGUUGAUCACAACAGCUAUCACAAAUUUACAUGGAGAGAGGGGAUAAAACACACUCCAACCAAAACUUAGAAAAAGAUAUUUCAAUCCCCCCUAUGCUUUCAGAAUGCUUGGUACAGCCCUUUGCUGUUUCUGUGUUUAAAAUUAGGCUCCGCCCACACCUCCAUCUUUGGCCAAACCACGAGGGAGAACUCAACAGCUAAGUAAGAUGAAAUGAAACAAAUAAUGUAACUUAACAGCUCAUUGUGACAGAAGUUUUGGCUAAAUGUGUGUUCUUCCUUUAGAAAACAGAGUGCUGUCAAUUGUGCAGUUUGAGCGACCAAACAGAGAACAUUGGUUUGUUAAGCUAUUGCUAACUACUGUUAACUAACUACUGUUAGCAUUAGCCACAGCGAGAGUAUAGUGAGCAGUGAUAAAUCACAGCCUCUUGACAUAGUAGGAGUAUAAAUAUAUUAUCUCUAAGUGUUAUCCUGGAAUGAACUGAACCUAUGUUGUGAUUAAUACCAAUCCUCACUCACAUAUUUCUUUAUUUAUGUCAUAACUGUUGGUAAUGUGCUGUUAAAUUACUGACAAGAUCUUCACUUACUUCAGCUUUUGUCUCAGCAUCUCAGAUCAUGUUCAUACAGUGAAGCUCAUCGCCUACUGCAGUGUUUUAUUCUGUUUUCUGUCUCUCCUGUGUCUGCUGUUAUGACUCUUCAUUUGUCUGAAGUCAUGGUACUGUGAUUAUCGUGCCCUGUUCUCCUCUGAAAAUCGUUCUCAUCCUCUUUCCAACCCACACGCCUCCUCUGUGUCUCAAAACCCCUGUUUCUUUAUGCCAACUGGCAGCGGCAAGCGGAGACAACUUUCUCUUAUGUCAAAUUAUGCAUAGACCGCAUGAUAAUACUAAUUCACCACAACAAGAGGUUAGCAUUGUUACAACAAAUGCUCCACAUGUAAGCAAACAUCCGCCACCGUGAUUGGCAACACACAUUUACACAAAGAAGCUAACAAACUGAGUUGUAAGGUAAGCUCACCUUACCCCAGGUUGCAUCAGCAAGACAGAAACAAGCGCAACAGAUGGUCUAAACCAAAUUCAAUCCAAAUUUAGCAAAGCAGAAUCCUUAUUCGAUGUAGGAUUUGAAGACUCUUUGACUCAAAUGAUUUCUGGAAGGUGUGAAAGGAUUUUCUGUCUUUUUCCUUUUCUGUAGUAGUCUGAUAAAACAAAGUAUCAAAGCUUGUUUUUUUCUGCCUUUUUAAGUCUGAUGUGUGAAUGUUUCGUCACCCAAGAACAUAUUUAAACUCAGUCUUUGGCGUUUUAUCAUUGACAGGCAUGUGUGAGUCUUCUUUAUGGUGCAUUCCUGCUGCUCUACUAAACUUGCAACAAACUCCUGGUAUCAAACAAGCAAUUCAAGCUUUUCAUUUUCCAUUUCAACCCAACCAUGAGGCUGUUUUUCUGGCUGUACCGCGGCGAGACCUUCACAAGGCCGAGCUUUUAAUUGCUUCCUUGCAGGGGGCUCGUCUUGACAGUGCCUCACAUCCUUUCUUCCACAGAAAAAAAAUAUAUAAAAAAGACUGAAAUCUUAGAAACAGCAGCAAAAAAGGAUUUCUGCCUACGCUUGAUCUCCCCUGCAGAGUUUGUCAAACAGAAGAAGAUCCUUUAAUUUGGUCACAACAGGGGCCUUCCACUAUUCUCUGCACACUGAAAUCCUGGCAAGAAAAGCCACUGCCUCCCCUAAUGUCCCAGAUGAGUCGUCUGACCUAGCAAAGUUCAUGAACAUGACUCUGAAUAUCUUGUCUCCUACAUGUCUUUCCUCCUCUUUAUUUUAAUGGUCUGACAAAAAGAGUGAAAACAGAAUGUAUUCCUUCUGUUUUAUGAUGAGCUCUGUAUUUCACUCGGCUUACCAAACCAUCUGAGCAGCAUCUGACUCUCUCUGUUUCUUCUCCUCGCUGCUAUAGGCUUAAACCUGCACAGUGGU